GUUAGGAAAGCAGCCAGGAGUAUUAACAACUCACAUUUAGACAUAGUUCUUUAAAGUCUUCAAAUUGCUUUCAUUAUUACAAUCACAGGAUGAGGCAAGGGGUGAAGGAGGUGGUGGAUACAGUAAAAGAAGCACUAUAGUGAGAGCCCCAGGUCCUGAGUUUGAAUGCUGACACUAUUCUUCAUUUCCUGUGUGACCUUGUGUAAGUCAGUACAUGUCAAAUUCCUUAUCUGUAAAAAGAACUAGACAACCACUAAGGUAGGGGCCUCCAGCUCCAGAUCUAUGAUCCUACAAACCCCAACUAACAGAUGAAGACCCUGAGGCAAAAAGAGGGUCAUUAUCUACUCCUGGUCACACAACUACUUUUAAGUGUGAGAUACAGGAAGAGAAGCCAAAUGACCCAAGUGGAGUUUAGCAUCAUCCCCACUCCAUGAUGACACCGCUAAAUCUAUCCCAGUCUAGCCUGGAUGCUAACUUCACCAGGGAGCACAGCGGCCUGCAGGUGAAUCUGCUGCAAAGCCACAGGCUGCUAAGGACACUAGAAGGUGAGGAACUAGAGGUGGGGAUACUGUUGGGACAAUCAGACACACUUGUCCUCUUUAGGACAGAGCUGAACAAGAAGUUGUUGUAGAAGCAUUUCAGACUCUCCCUGACCCCAUUUAAGGUUUUCUUGGGAAAGAUAAUGGAGUAGUUUGCUAUUUCCUUCUCCAGUUCAUUUUACAAAUGAAGAAACUGAGGUAAGCACAGUGCUAAAUGACUUGCCCAGGGUCACACAGCUAGCAAGUGUCUGAGGCCAGAUUUGAACUCACAAAGUUGAAUCUUCCUGGCUUCAGGCCUGGCAUUCUAUUCACUGCAUCACCUAGCUAACCCCAAACCAAGGGUCAGAUAUCAAAUAUUUCUCCUCUUUAACUAUCUGAAAAUACUCAGUUUUAAUUCCCUAAUGCCUCAACAUGCUAUUCAAGGCAAGAGUCUAGAAAACAAGUUUCAAAUUGAAGGUGAUUACAAACGUCUCUGAGAUAAUGCUCACAAUACUCAGGGCUCUGAUCAUGUCUCCAAAUUCAGUUUUGGAACAAAGAGCUUGGAAGCACAAACUUCUCUUGCCCCUAGCACAAAGAAGAUAAAACCAGGCAUGCUAUUGGAAAUAAAAUACUAUGUCCAAUGGGCUAUCAAACUGUGCAUACCCUUUGAUCCAGCAGUCUCACUACUAAGUUUGUAUCCUAAAGAAAUCAUAAAAGAGGGAAAAGUACCCACAUGUACAAAAAUGUUUGUAGCAGCUCUUUCUGUAGUGGCAAGGAACUGGAAAGUUAAGUGGAUACUCACCAGUUGGGAAAUACCUGAAUAAGUUAUAGUAUAUGAAAGUAAUAGAAUAUUAUUGUUCUUUGAGAAAUAAUGAGCAGGCUGAUUUCAGAAAAGCCUGGAGAAAUGUACAUGAACUGAUGCUGAGUGAUGGGAACAGAACCAAGAUAACAUUGUACACAGCAACAACAAUAUUAUGUGAUGAUCAACUGUGAUGGACUUGGCUCUUUUUAACAAUGAGGUGAUUCAAGGUAAUUACAAUAGACUUGGGAUGGAAAGUAGCAUCCACAUCCAGAGAGAACUAUGGAGACUGAAUAUGGAUUUUCACCUUUUUUGGUUUGUUUCCUUUUUUUUUUUUUCUUUUUCCUGGUUUUUUCCCUUUUGAUCUGAUUUUUUUUUUUUUUUUUUUUGGCACAGCACAAUGGAUAUAGAAAUAUGUUUAGAAGAAUUGCACACAUUUAACUUAAUGGAUUGCUUGCUGUCUAGGAGUGGGUGAAAGGGGAAGGAGAGGGAGAAAAAUUUGGAACACAAGGUUUUGCAAAGGUGAAUUCUGAAAACUAUUUUUGCUUGUAUUUAGAAAAAUAAAAUACUCUUAAAGGAAAAAAGAAAAAAAAAAAAAGCCUGGAAAGACUUACAUGAACUGAUGCUGAGUGAAAUAAGCAGAACGAAGAGAACACUGUACAUAGUUACAAGAUUAUGUAAUGAUCAACUGUGAUGAACUUGCUUCUUCUCAGCAAUGCCAUGAUUCAAGGCAAUUCAAAAAGACUUGGGAUGGAAAAUGCUAUCUGAAUCCAGAGAGAGAACUAUGGAGACUAAAUGUAGAUCAAAACAUAUAGUAUUUUCACCUUUUUUGUUUUUUUUUCUUUUUCAUGCUUUUUUUAAAUUUUGGCCUGACUUUUUUUUAAACAAAAGUUUUUUUAUUUUCAAAAUAUAUGCAAAGAUAGUUUUUAACAUUCACCCUUGUAAAACCUUGUUUUCCAAAUUUUUCUCCUUCCCUUUCCUUCAUUCUUCUCUCCUAGAAAAGCAAGUAAACCAAUAUAUCUUAAAUAUGUGCAAUUCUUCUAUACAUGUUUUCAUUUAUGCUGCACAAGACAAAUCAGAUCAAAAAUGAAAAAAAAAAUGAGAGAAAAAAAAACAAGCAAGCAACAAUAAAUUAAUGAUUUAUAUUGGAUUAUAUCCAACCCUGCAACUUGGAGAUAUGCUGUUGUGACGGCUGUGCAUUCUGAGAGCACAGAGCAAGAAUGCAGAGAUGUCCUAACUAGUCUCUCCCCCUUACCUUUAGCAGCUCCUCCCUUCCUCAUUGAUUAUUCUAGUCUCUUAUUUAACAUGACACCAGAAAACAGAUGACUAGAAUUUUUUUUUUUUAAUUUUCAAUAGUAUUUUAUUUUUCAAAUACAUGUAAAGAAAGUUUUCAACAUUCUUUCUGGAUGCAGAUGGCUCUCUCCAUCACAAGUCUAUUGGAAUUGGCCUAAAUCACCUCGUUGUUGAAAAGAGCCACAUCUAUCAGAGUUGAUCAUCACAUAAUCUUGUUGUUGCUAUGUACAAUGUUUUCUUGGUUCUACUCACUUCAUUUAGUAUGAGUACAUAUAAAAGUUUCUCCAAGCCUUUCUAAAAUAAUCCUGCUGAUCAUUUCUUAUAGAACAAUAAUAUUCCAUAACAUACAUAUACCAUAAUUUAUUCAGCCAUUCCCAAACUGAUGGGCAUCCAGUAAGUUUCUAGUUCCUUGCAAUUACAAAAAGGCAUGCUUACAAACAUUUUUUGCACACAGGGGUCCUUUUCCCUUUUUUAUGAUCUCUUUGGGAUACAGACCCAGUAGUGGUCUGAUUUUUCUUGUACAAUAUGAUAAAUAUGAAAAUAUGUUUAAAAGAAUUGUACAUAUUUAAUCCAUAUCAGAUUGCUUGCUGUCCUGAGGAGGAAGGAGAUAAGAAGAAAAUUUUGGGACACAAAGUCUUACAAAAAUGAAUGUUGAAAAUUAUCUUUACAUUUUUUUGAAAAUACAAUACUAUUGAAAAAAAACACCCAAUAUUUUGUCUCUGGUCUCAUGUUAAAUAAGAGCUAAAACAACCAAUGAGGAAGGCAGGAACUGCUAAAGAUAAGGAGGAGGAGGUUGGAACAUCCCUGUAUUCUUACUCUGUGCUCUCUCAGAAUGCGCAGCUGCCACAACAGCUUAGCUCCAUGUUGCAGGAUUGGUCAUAAACCAACAUAAAUCAGUAACUAGAACUCUUCUCCUAGAGGCAAGCAGCAUUCCCUUUGUUGUGUCACAGUUCCAACAUGAUCAAGCAUCUAAUCUCUUGGUUCACGUAUCCUAGAAAUAAGAAACUUACCAUCUUUUUAUUUCCAGUACAAACUUACCUGGAAAACAGGUAAUGAUCCUGGAAAGGUAGACUGAAACCUACUGAGAAACACCAAUGGAGUUUGAUCCUAAAGGCAAUGGAACUUAUAUAACAAAGAAGUGAAAAGGUUAAACUUGAUUGAAGGAUGGACUCCAGGGCGGGAGAGACUGAAGACAAAGAGGCUAAUUAGCUUAUGUGAAAGAUAAUGACUGUUUGAAUUACAAUAGUGGUGUAUUAAAAAAGCUCCAUAAGCACAAAGAA